UACGAAGGGGGCUAGCGUUGUUCGGAAUUACUGGGCGUAAAGGGCGCGUAGGCGGUGUGUCAAGUCAGGCGUGAAAGCCCCGGGCUCAACCUGGGAACCGCGCUUGAGACUGGCACGCUCGAGUUCGGGAGAGGGAUGGUGGAAUUCCCAGUGUAGAGGUGAAAAUUCGUAGAUAUUGGGAAGAACACCGAUGGCGAAGGCAGCCAUCUGGACCGACACUGACGCUGAGGCGCGAAAGCGUGGGGAGCAAACAGG
rnacentral:rRNA from 1 species